GAUGAACGCUAGCGGCAGGCUUAACACAUGCAAGUCGAGGGGCAGCACAGGUAGCAAUACUGGGUGGCGACCGGCGCAAGGGUGCGUAACGCGUGAGCAACAUGCCCGUAUCAGGGGGAUAAUCCAUGGAAACGUGGUCUAAUACCCCAUAGUAAGUUUUUGAGGCAUCUCAAGGAUUUUAAAGCUUUGGUGGAUACGGAUUGGCUCGCGUGACAUUAGCUGGAUGGUAGGGUAACGGCUUACCAUGGCUACGAUGUCUAGGGGUUCUGAGAGGAAGGUCCCCCACACUGGAACUGAGACACGGUCCAGACUCCUACGGGAGGCAGCAGUGAGGAAUAUUGGACAAUGGAUGGAAAUCUGAUCCAGCCAUGCCGCGUGCAGGAAGACGGCCCUAUGGGUUGUAAACUGCUUUUGUAUGGGAGCAAUAAGAUCUACGUGUAGAUUGAUGAGAGUACCAUACGAAUAAGCACCGGCUAACUCCGUG
rnacentral:rRNA from 1 species